rnacentral:sRNA from 1 species
GGCGGUCAACGGGCUACGCUGGCUUGACAGGGCUGGGCUCUUCAGAACAGAAGCAUGGAUCUCGGAAUCCCUGACCUGCUGGACGCGUGGCUGGAGCCCCCAGAGGAUAUCUUCUCGACAGGAUCCGUCCUGGAGCUGGGACUCCACUGCCCCCCUCCAGAGGUUCCGGGCCUUCAAGAGAGUGAGCCUGAAGAUUUCUUGAAGCUUUUCAUUGAUCCCAAUGAGGUGUACUGCUCAGAAGCAUCUCCUGGCAGUGACAGUGGCAUCUCUGAGGACCCCUGCCGUCCAGACAGUCCCCCUGCCCCCAGGACAACCAGUUCUCCUACGCUCUAUGAGGUUGUCUAUGAGGCAGGGGCCCUGGAGAGGAUGCAGGGGGAAACUGGGCCAAAUGUAGGCCUCAUCUCCAUCCAGCUAGGUCAGUGUUCUUUGUGGGAAGGGGGAAAUGGCCCUUCGUGACUGGCCCUAACCAUGGGGUUAAGGGGGUUUACCCAACCUGUGCCACUACCCCGGCCGUCCUACUGUCAGGGUGUUCCUAAGUCUCCUUUCUCCCAGCUACCUGUUUUCUACUCCAGAUCAGUGGAGCCCAGCAUUUAUGGUGCCUGAUUCCUGCAUGGUCAGUGAGCUGCCCUUUGAUGCUCAUGCCCACAUCCUGCCCAGAGCAGGCACUGUAGCCCCAGUGCCCUGUGCAACCCUGCUGCCCUGUCAAACCCUGUUCCUGACCGAUGAGGAGAAGCGUCUGCUGGGGCAGGAAGGGGUUUCUCUGCCCUCUCACCUGCCUCUCACCAAGGCAGAGGAGAGGGUCCUCAAGAAGGUCAGGAGGAAAAUCCGUAACAAG